AUGUGUUCCUCUUCUUUUCUCAGAUGUUCUUGUCUUCUUUUCUCAGAUGUGUUCCUCUUCUUUUCUCAGAUGUUGUCUUCUUCUUUUCCCAGUUGCUGCUUUGCUGCAGAGUGUUUGAAGCAGGGGCCUUUAUACUCCAGGAAAGAAACUUCUAGAAGCUGGAGACAUGCUAUUCAAAUGAGGAUGUUUGGAUUUCCUAGGGAAGCUGGGAGAGCCCUCCCUCUGGAUCCAGUGACCACAAGAUUCAACCUCUGCAAGAUUCUUCUGUCGGGGGAUGUAGAGACAUGCUCCCCAAGCUCACAUCCUCCCCCAACACUGCCACGUCAAAGUGUGAAUUCUUUUUCAGGCUGCGGGUGUGGUGCACAAAUGGCUAUAUACAUUUCAGAGUGACUUUUAUAAUUUUACUGAACUUAAUAUUUUUCUGAAUUUUAUAAUGUUGUGGUGAUCAGUCUUUUGCACCUUUUGUUUUGUUAAGCCUGUUGGUCUGAGCUCUUUUGCAUAUUUGCACUUUUUCCUUUAUGUAACUUUUUCUUCUGUCCCCUCCAGUAGUGAAACACAAGCUUUCUUUCUUUCUUUUUCUCUUUCUUUCUUUCUUUCUUUCUUUCUUUCUUUCUUUCCUUCUUUCUUUCUUUCUUUCUUUCUUUCUUUCUUUCUUUCUUUCUUUCUUUCUUUCUUUCUUUCUUUCUAUGCAUCAAAUGUGCAUCAAAUGAGCUCCAUAAAAAUGCAUUAAAAAUAACAAAUUGCUGUAAAAUGUUUUUUUUUUUUUAUUAUUAGGUAAAUUUCGAAAUGUCUAAUAAGCACAAAAUCAUGUGUUUUGUGCACUGACCACCUGUGUGUGGUAUGUGUUGCCCAAACAUGUGGCUCUGCUGUAAAUGGCAAUCUGUUGUUUACCGGAGAGUCUCUUUAAACAUCUCAGUUCUCUCAAGACUUGAAUGUGGCAAAUGUCUUACUUGCUACAGUGGCACAACACUCAAACUUUGGUUCUGUUUAAAAAUGUUUUAAGAAUAUAUCCAUAUAUGUUCGCUGAACCUCAGAAAAUCUGCACAAAGCAGUCAUUGAGUUAUGGGCUGAGCUGGGGGCUGUGCCACGCAUGUAUGAUGUAAGAUGUGAGCAAAGUUACUUCUUAAACGCUGAUGUAACUUAGUGCAGCAUUGCAUGUGUCUUUGAUUUCUUAUCGAAGAAGUGAGAAAAAGAGAAUUUUGUGAAAAAAAAAAAACAAUUUACACUGGUUUAGUUGGUUUGGUUUUAUAAAAGGUUUAUGUGCAAAACAAAUUCAUUUAUUUAUACCUGAAUUCACACAAAUCAUAAAUCGCAAAUGGAAUUGUGUUGUUUUACCACUGCAGAAAUCAGAAGUUUCCAUUAUAUACUGUAGUUGGUCUGAUCUGCAACCCCUAGGAGUUUUGUUUUGUUUUAAAAGGCAAAAGUCCUUUUUUUUGCAAGACAAAAUUACCAUCUUUUAGGGUGGUUGCAGUAAUCAGACAAGUUUUUAUAGCACCGUAACAUGCAUGUCAUUGGAAAGUAAAAGCAAAGAAGUAGGCAAACCUCCCCAACAAGUAUGACAGUCCAUUUGCACAUUAAGUCAUAAAUAUUAAGUAUGAUUUAGGCUCUGUCGUGACUAAAGGGAGAAAGACUAAAUUCUUUGCUCAGGCUGAUGAGGCAUGAUGAUUGACUGUGACCUUAGUCACUUUUACUAAUUGAAAGCAUGAUGAUUAGUUCUUAAGGUUUUAAUCCCAAAAUCUGACUUGGUAUGUUUAAGGUUUUGAGGUAAUAAUUCAGAUAACCUUUCUCUUGAAUUGGGAACAAAAAGUAGCUUAACUCAAAACUUAUUUUCAGCCUGCACCAUAUUGACCGACCACUAGAUGGCGAUCAAAGAAAGCAGUUGUAUCAUACAAGCGAUGGCUUUCCUAAAUUCAGGGGUAUUUCUCUCAUUAAACAAAAUGUUUGUUUAUAAUCCUUUUAAAAUCAGCACCUUUCCGACUCCAGAUUCAUGACAUCUAUCUUAUGAGUGAUCAUGUAUGUAUGUAUAACAGACAAAUAUAGGAGUUUGGGGAUAUCUGAGCAGCUGGAUGCUGUGACCAACAGCUGAUCAGAGAAUUGGUGUCCACUUUAUUUUCACAGGGCCUGAAAUGUCAGGGGAUGCAAUUACCCUGCUGCAACCUAAGCAAGCGUGCCCACACAACACACACACACACACACACACACACACACACACACACACACACACACACACACACACACACACACACACACACACACACACACACACACUUACAAACACUAGGGAUCACAAAAGUUUGCUUGUAUGAUUUAUCAAUGACAGUCUUACUUAAUUAAACUUUCAAAUGCUUUCCAAGGCUUCCCAAUAUUUCAUUUUCCCCUGUGUCUCUCAAAUAACUCAUAAAUAAAGCUAUAUAUUUUUGCA
ensembl:lncRNA